rnacentral:rRNA from 1 species
UACGUAGGGUGCGAGCGUUGUCCGGAAUUAUUGGGCGUAAAGAGCUCGUAGGCGGCUUGUCGCGUCGACCGUGAAAACCCGCGGCUUAACUGCGGGCUUGCGGUUGAUACGGGCGGGCUAGAGUUCGGUAGGGGAGACUGGAAUUCCUGGUGUAGCGGUGAAAUGCGCAGAUAUCAGGAGGAACACCGGUGGCGAAGGCGGGUCUCUGGGCCGAUACUGACGCUGAGGAGCGAAAGCGUGGGGAGCGAACAGG